rnacentral:rRNA from 1 species
CUCCUCCCGCCCCCAUGGGAGGUCCCGCCUGCCCAGUGGACCAACUAAACGGCCGCGGUACUCUGACCGUGCUAAGGUAGCGCAAUCACUUGCCCCCUAAAUGAGGGCUAGUAUGAACGGCACCACGAGGGUUACCCUGUCUCCCCCCUUUAAUCAGUGAAACUAACCCCCCCGUGAAGAGGCGGGGAUGGCCAUAUAAGACGAGAAGACCCCAUGGAGCUUCAAACUCAUGUCACCCGCCACUAACACACCAACAAAACAAGCGGAUCUGACCUCUGUUUUAGGUUGGGGCGACCACGGAGUAAAACUCAACCUCCGAGACGAAACUUAAUUCAAGAAUGACCCUUCAAAAAUCAAAAAUCUGACGUAAUUGACCCAAAUUUAUUUGAUCAACGAACCAAGUUACCCUGGGGAUAACAGCGCAAUCCACUUCAAGAGCCCCUAUCAACAAGUGGGUUUACGACCUCGAUGUUGGAUCAGGGUACCCAGGUGGUGUAGCCGCUACCAAUGGUUCGGUUGUUCAACGAUUAAAACCCU